UACGUAGGGGGCAAGCGUUGUCCGGAUUUAUUGGGCGUAAAGGGCGCGUAGGCGGCUUGAUAAGGUUGCGGUGAAAGCCCGGGGCUCAACACCGGGUCGGCCGUGGCAACUGUCGAGCUGGAGCACUGUAGAGGCAGGUGGAAUUCCGGGUGUAGCGGUGGAAUGCGUAGAGAUCCGGAAGAACACCGGUGGCGAAGGCGGCCUGCUGGGCAGUGGCUGACGCUGAGGCGCGACAGCGUGGGGAGCAAACAGG
rnacentral:rRNA from 1 species